UACGGGGGGGGCAAGCGUUUGUUCGGAAUUACUGGGCGUAAAGGGCUCGUAGGCGGCCAACUAAGUCGGAUGUGAAAUCCCCAGGCUUAACCUGGGAACUGCAUCCGAUACUGGAUGGCUUGAAUCCGGGAGAGGGAUGCAGAAUUCCAGGUGUAGCGGUGAAAUGCGUAGAUAUCUGGAGGAAUACCGGUGGCGAAGGCGGCAUCCUGGACCAAUACUGACGCUCAUGUGCGAAAAGCGUGGGGAGCAAACAGG
rnacentral:rRNA from 1 species